UACGGAGGGUGCAAGCGUUAAUCGGAAUUACUGGGCGUAAAGCGCACGCAGGCGGUUUGUUAAGUCAGAUGUGAAAUCCCCGGGCUCAACCUGGGAAAUGCAUCUGAUACUGGCAAGCUUGAGUCUCGUAGAGGUGGGUAGAAUUCCAGGUGUAGCGGUGAAAUGCGUAGAGAUCUGGAGGAAUACCGGUGGCGAAGGCGGCCCCCUGGACGAAGACUAACGCUCAGGUGCGAAAGCGUGGGGAGCAAACAGG
rnacentral:rRNA from 1 species